AGUGUGCAUUUCAGAGCUGUAGAAGCCGAGCCUAAUGCUAACUGAACUGGAUAAUAAACAGAGAUGUGGGUGUAGUCAGAAAAGAAUGCACCUUCCUUUGAGCCAGGAGGAAAGAGUUGAUAUCUGAAACAGAGAGGAGAAUGUGAAUGCAAGUAUGUUCAAGUGGAGUGAAGAAGAGAAGAUUUUGGGUAGAUAAUAACCUCUGAACCUAGCUGUACGUUAUAAGCUGUCCUUUGAAGAGAACACUGUGGCAAGGAACUGAGUGAAGGAGGCCUCUGGCCUACACCCAGUGAAGAAUUAAGGAACUCAGUCUGACAACGUGUGAGGCACUGAGUCCUGCCAACAACUACACGAGUGAGCUUGGAAACAGACCCUCAGUCCAGCCUUCAGGUGAGACUGCAGUCUUGACUUAUCCAUUGCUGCAUCUGGAUGCCUCAAAGUCAUCCAGAUACAACAAUAGAUAACCAGUAGUUAUAGAUUAACUUCAUCUCUCCUAAAAUUUCAAGUAAAAUAAAUAAUACAGGCCAGGUACAGAGGCUCAUACCUGUAAUCCCAGCACUUUGGGAGGUUGAGGAGGCAGGAUCACUUGAGCCCAGGAGUUUGAGACCAGCCUGGGCAACAUAACAAAACCCCAUCUCUACAAAAUAUAUAAAAAUUAGCCAGGCAUGGUGGCAUGCGCCAGUAGUCCCAGCUACUUGGGAGGCUGAGGUGGGAGGAUCACUUGAGCCUGGGAGGUUGAGGCUGCAGUGAGCCAUGAUCAUGCCACUGCACUCCAGCCUGGGUGACAGAGCGAGACCACGUCUUAAAAAAAAAAAAAAGAAAAAAGAAAUAAUACAGUAUGUACUCAUGUCUAGCUUCUUUCACUCAGCAUAGUGUUUCUGUAAUUCAUCCAUGUUAUUGUGUAUACCAGUAGUUGAUUCUUUUUUAUUGCUGAGUAUUUCAUUGUAUGACUAUAUAACAAUGGAUUUAUCCAUUCAGCUGUUGAUAGACAUUUGGGUUGUAUCUGGUUUUCAAUAUUGUAUUUGGGGGCUUUUAGAAUUCUGUAAUGUCAAAUGAUCAUUUAAGAUUGAGUGCAAACUAAGCUGGGUGUGGUGGCAUGUGCCUGUAGUCUCAGCAACUUGGGAGGCUGGAGCAGGAGGAUUGUUUAGUUCAGGAGUUCUAGGCAGUAGUAUGCGAUGAUCACACCUGUGAAUAACCACUGCACUCCAAUCUGGGCAACAUAAUGAAAACUGAUCUCUAUAAAAAACAAAAACAAAAACAAAAAACAAAGGUUGAGUGCAAAAUAAAGACAUUUCAGACAAAUGGGAUCUAGAAAAUUUACUGUCACUAAAGACCUUUGGUAAAGAAUUACUAAGGAGGCUAGGUACUGUGUCUCAUGCCUGUAAUCCCAGCACUUUGGGAGGCUGUGGUGAGAGGAUCACUUGAGUCCAAGAGUUCAAGACCAGCCUGGGCAACAUAGCGAGAUCCUGUCUCUACAAAAAUAAAAGUUAGCCAGGUGUGGUGGUGCAUGUCUGUAGUCCCAGCUACUUGAGAGGCUGAGGUGGGAGGAUGGCUUAAGCCUGGGAGGUUGAGGCUGCAGUGAGCCAUGAUCAUGCCACAGUACACCAGCCUAAGAAACAGAGUGAGAUCCCUGUCUCAAAAAAAAAAAAAACAAAAAAAAAAAACUUGAAUAGAAUGCAAGAAUCAACAGUGAGCAAAGAAAGAGGGAAAAUAAUCAAAAUAAGUAAUGUUCAUUGUAAAACAUGAACCUUAAAAUAAUGGACCAGCAGACACAUCAAAAUCUUGCAUGACAUUUUACACAUUUAGUCAUUGCUGAGGAAACAUGUUAAAGCUUUUGUUGACUUCUCUGGUAGCGGAACUACAUAUGACCAUAUCCUGAUAUAUUUAGAGGAAAUUAGCAAGCUUUCAUCUUUUUAUGACUUUUCCAAACUUAACCUACGCUUAUCUCAACAGAAGCCAUUCCUUUCUAUAAGAAUAAGCUUUUGAAGAUGUUUUCCUUGAACUUCUAAAGUUUACAUAUUAACUACUCCAUCAUUCAAUAGGGGCAUAUUUACAAACCAGGCAAACAAGGGUUUCUGCCCAGAAUGCCUACCACACCUUGUCAUCUGACCCUAGUCUAAAGCUAAUUUCUUCAGGGAAGUUUUUCUUAUCCUUAACCUGCUACUCAGUCCCACUUCCUUCCACAUGCCCCAGUCCUUUUCAUUACUUCUAUCAACAGAUACAGCUUUUUUUUUUUUUUUGAAACGGAGUCUUGCUCUGUCACCAGGCUGGAGUGCAGUGGCAUGAUCUUGGCUCACUGCAACCUCCAACUCCCUGGUUCAAGCGAUUCUCCUGCCUCAGCCUCCUGAGUAGCUGGGACUACAGGCACAUGCCACCACGCCCAGCUAAUUUUUGUAUUUUUAGUAGAGACAGGGUUUCACCAUGUUGGCCAGGAUGGUCUCAAUCUCCCGACCUCGUGGUCUGCCCACCUCGGCCUCCCAAAGUGCUGGGAUUACAGGCAUGAGCCACUGUGCCCGGCCUUUUUUCUUUUUUUGGGGGACAGAGUCUGGCUCUGUCACCCAUGCUGGAGUGCAGUGGUGUGAUCUCGGCUCACUGCAACCUCCACCUCCCAGGUUCAAGUGAUUCUUAUCCCUCAGCCUCCCAAGUAGCUGGGAUUACAGGCAUGUACCACCAUGCCCGAAUAAUUUUUGUAUUUUUAGUAGAGACUGGGUUUCACCAUGUUGGCCAGGCUGGUCUCGAACUUCUGGCCUCAAGUGAUCUGCCCGCCUCGGCCUCCUAAAGUGCUGGAAUUACAGGUGUGAGCCACUGCGCCCAGCCAACAGAUGCAGCCUUUUAUUGCUCUUAUUCACAUAC
rnacentral:lncRNA from 1 species